rnacentral:rRNA from 1 species
GACAGAGGCCUCAAGCGUUAGGCGGAAUCACUGGGCUUAAAGCGUGUGUAGGCGGGUCGUUAAGUACCUUGUGAAAUCUCACGGCUCACCCGUGGAACGGCUGGGUAUACUGGCGAUCUUGGGCCAACUAGGGGCGACUGGAACAAAUGGUGGAGCGGUGAAAUGCGUAGAUAUCAUUUGGAACGCCAAUGGUGAAAACAGGUAGCUGGGGCUGUGCUGACACUGAGACACGAAAGCCAGGGGAGCAAACGGG